GCAACGGAUAUCUCGGCUCACGCAUCGAUGAAGAACGUAGCAAAAUGCGAUACUUGGUGUGAAUUGCAGAAUCCCGUGAACCAUCGAGUUUUUGAACGCAAGUUGCGCCCAAAGCCAUCCGGUUGAGGGCACGCCUGCCUGGGCGUCUCGCAUCGCGUCGCU
rnacentral:rRNA from 1 species